rfam:Picea glauca, whole genome shotgun sequence.
AUGUACAUGCCUACAACAUAACGUUAAUGCAUCGGAUCUCAUUAGAACUCCUCAGUUAAGCGUGGUCGGAAUAGAGUAGUAUUGGGAUGGGUGACUGCCUGGGAAGUCCUAGUGUUUUACAUG